GAAGAUAAAACUGGCGACGCUAAAAAGAAAUUAUCCGAAUAAGUUAAAAAGAGCGGCUUGAAUUUUUCAAGCCGCUCUUUUUUUGGUCC
rnacentral:sRNA from 1 species